GAUGAACGCUGGCGGCGUGCCUAAUACAUGCAAGUCGAGCGAACGGACGAGAAGCUUGCUUCUCUGAUGUUAGCGGCGGACGGGUGAGUAACACGUGGAUAACCUACCUAUAAGACUGGGAUAAUUUCGGGAAACCGGAUCUACUACCGGAUAAUAUUUUGAACCUCAUGGUUCAAAAGUGAAAUACGGUCUUGCCGUCACUUAUAGAUGGACCCGCGCUGCAUUAGCUAGUUGGUAAGGUAACGGCUUACCAAGGCAACGAUGGAGAGGCGACCUGAGAGAGAGAUCGCCAACAAUGCAACUGAGGCGCGUUCCAGACCCCAAAGGGAGGCAGCAGGAGGACAUCUGCCGCAAGGGGCGAUGGCCUAACGGGGCAACUCCGCUUGAGUGAUGAAGGUCUUUGGUUCGUAAGACCAUAUUAUUGGAGAAGAACAUAUGUGUAAGUCACUGUGCGAAUCUGGCCGUUACCUAAGAAGAAAGCCGCGGUAAACUCCGU
rnacentral:rRNA from 1 species